CCAAUGCCAUAGCCGACCUAGGAGCUCAAGAAAAGUGAAAGCCUCUCUAUCUCUCGUGGUGGCAAUGGCGAAAGGGGAUGAUGCAGUGAUGAAGAAGAGGAACAAGGCGAUCAGGAAGAGGCUUCAUAAGCAUAGUGAAUCGUCUACUGCGGUCUCUGCUCGGGUCGCCGCCAUUAUUGCUUCCAAGAAGCGCCGCAAGUCCGGAAAACGACGCAUGUGCGAGGGGAUGUGUUUUAGCCUCCCUACUCCUGAUGAUCCUUUCAACGAGAGGCAUGAAAAGAUGGAUUUGAAAAGAAAGGAACCUAAGAAGAAAAUGUCUUCCCAAGAUGACGAGAGGGGUUUUGUUAAAGGGAAGAUUGCUGCACUGAGGAAUGGAACCGAAGCUAGGAAUGUCACGUUAGAAAAGAAAAAUGAGAAGGUUGUGAAUUUGAAGGAUGAACAAAAAAGUUCAAUGAUAUCGAUGAACGGUCUGGGCCAGAAAUGUCUUGUUGACUUAGAAGAAAAGGUUAAAGUGAUUAGGAAGAAAGGUGAACAUGGUCAACAUGGAUGGGCCUGUGAAAACUUAAAUCAUCCAUCGAAGUUUCUCAUUAUGUGCUUGAAUUCAAUAGAAAAUGCAUUGCGACAUGAUGGUACCUACAUUAGUGAAGAGGACAAGCCUUUGUUUGUUAAUGAAUGGGGAGUUGAAUUCUGUAAAUAUUAUUCAUCUGGAAAGGAUAUUUUGGAGACUAGUGGACCUAGUUCUACUGUAGAGCAAAUUGCUUGGAUAGUUUCCACUGCCGCUGAUACCAUUGCAAGAAAGGAGAAAGAAGGCAUGACUUUUGCCAAUCCCUUUCUUUUAUUCAUUGUACCAUCCCAGGAGAAAGCUGCCAAGGUUCGCUCAAUCUGCAAACCUUUGAAGGCUCUUGGAAUACAUACUGUGAGUAUACAUCCUGGUGCAUCAUUGGAUCACCAGAUUCAAGGUCUAAAGAGCUGUGAGCCUGAGUUUCUUGUGUCAACACCUGAGAGGCUACUGGAACUUGUUACCUCUAAGGCAAUUGAUAUAUCUGGUGUCUCCUUGCUGGUCGUUGAUGGACUUGAUCGUCUUUCAGAUGGUGGUUAUCCUGAUAUGAUAAAAUCCAUUAGGCAAUCUAUAUCGGGAACUCCACUUACUGUGGUUUUCAAUGAUUGCUUCAAUCAUGCCUCUGUUCCAUUGGUUCAAAACCUUUUGUUGCGAUCAAUCUAUCGACUUUCGCUUAAUGAUACCAUUGCCAGUCUAAGUUCAUGCAUUGUCCAGUCUGUGAAUGUGUGCACCUCAGAAGAAGAAAAACUAUCAAAGUGCAUUCAAAUUCUGGACCAAACUUAUUGCAAUCAACUCUUCUCUCAACCCUUGAAGGUGCUAUACAUAUUUGCUAAAGAUAGCAACCUCAGCAAAUUAGCCGCUGCUCUCAAAAUCAAGGGUUAUUCUGUAUCAAGUGACUCAUCGUGUACCAUUUCAAAUUUUAACAACAGCGAAAUGAAACCUGCAGUGUCCAUGAUCAAUAUUGAGCAGAUAAGUACUGCUGAUUUAGAGGAGUAUGAGAUUGUAAUAAUACCCAGCUUCGUACUUCCAAUUGACAGUUAUGUGCAUGUUCUCUCAAGGAUGGCCCGCCAUACUGUCAACGGUGUGUUGCACAGCUUCUUAACUAAAGAAAAUGCAGCACUUGCUGGACCAUUGACUGAAACCCUAGAACAAUGUGGGCAGGCAGUGCCUGAAGCUUUAAGAAACUUGUGUCUGACAGCACCCAUGUGGGAACAAUGAAGUUGGAUGCGCUUUCAUCAUUAUAUGUUCUCAUUCUUUCUGGCUACUGCAUCAUCUUUACCACAAGCAUAAUUAGUUGGAAAAUUGCAUGAUUUUUUUGUUUUCCUGUGGUUCUGUCCAACAGCUUCUGCAGUUGUUGAUGAGGGGAUUAGAAUGUCAUAAUCUCAUAACAGUGAAAAUUUCAGGUAGAAAGUCAAUUUUGAGCCUUGAUAGAGCCUCUGAUAUCUCAAUUAUCAGAAUGAGCUAUUUGCGGAUCAUUUCUCUAAUUUGUGUGGAAGAGCUUUAGUUUUGUUGAUUACCAAGAACUGGAUAUAAUGCAGUGUGAAGCGUGUGAUGGCUUACUCAGCUUCUAUAGAGAAUGUCGCGGUUUUGACACUGCAAAAGGGACAGCAGUGCACAGAAGUUGAGAGUGAAAAAAAUGGAAGUAGAAUUAACCAAUAAGAGGAAAUGGAAAGACUAAUGUUGUACAA